GGCUUGAGGUGCAUGCCGGGAUGAGGCGUCCGGCACGGGAGUCCCUACCCAGCUCUUGAAUCCCCGGGUGUGUCUGUCUGGUGUCAGAGCUCAAGCGUCAGGUUCGCCCCGUGCGUUCCACAAAGGCUUCUAGUAGUUAAGAGUACGGAUUCACGAAUCAAGAUGACGUGGUUCUAACCACGUGUGAGUCAGUUUAAUUGCUUGCCUACGGCCCCAAGUGUCCCGAGUCCAGCAGUGUAAAGAUCUGCUGGGAGCGGGCAGACAUUCAGCCUCAGAACUUACGGAAUUGCUUCUUGAUGUCUGCGGCCUUGGUGACUUUGAGCACGUUGAAGUUCACUGUCUUGCUCAGGGACCAGCACUUAUCCAGCAUGACAAUGUCGCUGAUCUGGACAUCCCGAAGCAGGGGAACAGGUGCCUGGACAUGUUCUUGUGGUACUUCUCGAAGCAAUUGUACUUGCGGAUGUAGUAGAGAGAGUCUCUGUGGAUGACAGUGGUCCUCUGCAUCUUCAUCUUGGUCACAAUGCCAGACAGGAUCUGCCCUCAGUGGAGAUGUUACCAGUGAACAGGCAUUCCUUGUCAGUGUAGAUGCCCUCAAUAGUCUCUUUGGACCUCCUGAAGCCUAGCUUGCCAGUUUCCUUUAGCAGGAUCCUCUUCUUGCUUUGAACAAUGGUCAGCUGCUUGUGAUAGGCAUGCUCAGUCUCAAUGUCCACCAUCUUCUUGGCUGCCUGAGAAAAAACUAGACAAUUAUUAUUAUUAUUAUUAUUUUGAGGUAGAGUUUUGCUCUGUCACCAGGCCGGAGUACAGUGGUAGUGGUGCGAUCUUGGCUCACUGCAACCUCCGCCUUCCGGUUCAAGCAGAUCUCCUGCCUGGGCCUCCUGAGUAGCAGGGACUACAGUUGCACGCCACCACGCCCAGCUAAUUUUUGUAUUUUUAGUACAGACGGAGUUUCACCAUGUUGGCCAGGAUGGUCUCGAUCUCUUGAUCUCGUGGUCCACCUGCCUUGGCCUCCCAAGGUAUUAAGAUUACAGGCAUGAGCCACCACUCCCGGCCAAAACUAGACAAUUUUUAAAGAUUGAAAGCAUUAUCUUGAUUCUGUUUAUGGGUAAUAAAUAUUUCUCAGUAAAUAUCUGUGAAAUGUAUUGAGUUGAACCAAAAAGAACAUAAUUAUGAGCUGAUA